rnacentral:tRNA from 15 species
GCGCCGUUAGCUCAGUUGGUAGAGCAGCUGACUCUUAAUCAGCGGGUCCGGGGUUCGAAACCCUGACGGCGCACCC